GGAGUAACGCGUGAGCAACCUGCCUAUGACAGUGGGAUAGCCUCGGGAAACCGGGAUUAAUACCGCAUAAAAUCGUAGAAACACAUGUUUCAACGGUCAAAGAUUUAUCGGUCAUAGAUGGGCUCGCGUCUGAUUAGCUAGUUGGUGAGAUAACAGCCCACCAAGGCGACGAUCAGUAGCCGGUCUGAGAGGAUGAACGGCCACAUUGGAACUGAGACACGGUCCAAACUCCUACGGGAGGCAGCAGCU
rnacentral:rRNA from 1 species